rnacentral:rRNA from 1 species
AGCAGCCGCGGUAAUUCCAGCUCCAAUAGCGUAUAUUAAAGUUGUUGCAGUUAAAAAGCUCGUAGUUGAAUUUCGGGAUCAAUACGUCUGUCGUGCCUUUGGUACGUACGGGUGUAAUUGGUUUCUACCUUCUGAGGAUCCUUGAUGUCAUUAAUUUGGUGUCUUGGGGAAUCAGGACUGUUACCUUGAAAAAAAUUAGAGUGUUUAAAGCAGGCAUGCGCUUGAAUACAUUAGCAUGGAAUAAUGAAAUAGGACGUUCGAUUCUAUUUUGUUGGUUUCUAGGAUCGACGUAAUGAUUAAUAGGGAUAGUUGGGGGCAUUAGUAUUCAAUUGUCAGAGGUGAAAUUCUUGGAUUUAUUGAAGACUAACUACUGCGAAAGCAUUUGCCAAGGAUGUCUUCAUUAAUCAAGAACGAAAGUUAGGGGAUCGAAGACGAUCAGAUACCGUCGUAGUCUUAACCAUAAACUAUGCCGACUAGGGAUCGGAUGAUGUAAUUUUUAAUGA